rnacentral:rRNA from 1 species
GAUGAACGCUAGCUACAGGCUUAACACAUGCAAGUCGCGGGGCAGCAUGGGGGUUGCUUGCAAUCCCCGAUGGCGACCGGCGCACGGGUGAGUAACGCGUAUCCAACCUGCCCUUCACCACGGGAUAACCCGGCGAAAGUCGGACUAAUACCGUAUGUUGUCCAUUGACGGCAUCCGAUUUGGACGAAAGGUUUGGCGGUGAAGGAUGGGGAUGCGUCCGAUUAGCUGGACGGCGGGGUGACGGCCCACCGUGGCGACGAUCGGUAGGGGUUCUGGGAGGAAGGUCCCCCACACUGGAACUGAGACACGGUCCAGACUCCUACGGGAGGCAGCAGUGAGGAAUAUUGGUCAAUGGGCGUAAGCCUGAACCAGCCAAGUAGCGUGCAGGAUGACGGCCCUAUGGGUUGUAAACUGCUUUUAUGCGGGGAUAAAGUGGCCCACGUGUGGGUUUUUGCAGGUACCGCAUGAAUAAGGACCGGCUAAUUCCGUG